AUGAACGCUGGCGGCGUGCCUAAUACAUGCAAGUCGAGCGAACAGACGAGGAGCUUGCUCCUCUGACGUUAGCGGCGGACGGGUGAGUAACACGUGGAUAACCUACCUAUAAGACUGGGAUAACUUCGGGAAACCGGAGCUAAUACCGGAUAAUAUAUUGAACCGCAUGGUUCAAUAGUGAAAGACGGUUUUGCUGUCACUUAUAGAUGGAUCCGCGCCGCAUUAGCUAGUUGGUAAGGUAACGGCUUACCAAGGCAACGAUGCGUAGCCGACCUGAGAGGGUGAUCGGCCACACUGGAACUGAGACACGGUCCAGACUCCUACGGGAGGCAGCAGUAGGGAAUCUUCCGCAAUGGGCGAAAGCUUGACGGAGCAACGCCACGUGAGUGAUGAAGGUCUUCGGAUCGUAAAACUCUGUUAUUAGGGAAGAACAAAUGUGUAAGUAACUAUGCACGUCUUGACGGUACCUAAUCAGAAAGCCACGGCUAACUACGUG
rnacentral:rRNA from 1 species